rnacentral:tRNA from 1 species
UGGGAUGUAACUUGGUUGGUAGAGUGCUUGCCUGGCAUGCACUAAGCCCUGGGUUUGAUCCCAGCACCACAU